GUUACUUUGGCGGUUCUCAUCACAAAAAAUCGCGUAAAAUUUGUUUAUUGCGUGAGUAUUUGGACAAAAGCGCCGGACUUCACUGACUGUAGUGUAACACCAAAUCAGGCGCCUUGGCGUUAUUUUAACCGUACGAUGAAUUUCAGAGGCUUUCAAUGAAAUCUGCGGAUUGAAUUUGGAGCAUUUACUUCUGGAUGUGCUUUUGGCGCACAUCCAACGGUGGCGCAGAGUCUGCACGCAAAAUCUGUGGCGAGGAUCUUUCUCCAAACAAAUGAGGACUUUACCAUGUAUAGAGCGCGAUUGGGACUCGUCUGGCUUUCUCUCUCUCUCUUCUUUUUUUUUUAGGUCCGACGGGGAAUAAAUCUCGGUGGUUAUCAGUGACGGUGGCGUGGAUGUGGAAACGCGCGUACGGAGGGGCAAUGUGCUUCAACUCCCUCCGCUGGAGAAAAAAAAAACAGUUGUAGAUGGGCAACUCUCUCAAACAAAGAUGUAUUACCAUCUCACACAAAGGAUCCUGAACUUCUGAAUCAAAUUUCAGGACGGACAAAAUACUAGGCUUUUCCUCCGCCCACACAGGUUUUUUUUCCCCCUUCUCCUUCCUGGGUACCAUGUCAAACACCAUAUGGAGCAAAUAAAGCCCGAGCGGCGGCAGGAGGAGGAGGAGGAGGAAGACGAGGAGGAGGAGGAGGCAGCGCUUUCUCUCAGUUUACCUUCAAAUUCAACAUGAACAAUCACAUCCAUCACAAACACGAGUUCAUCCAAACAAGGCGGUAAACAUUUACGCUCAAACUAAACCUCCGCCGACCUCUCAGCUUCACACGCGGGAUGAGAUUGUGUACUAAUGACUUUACUGUAUUAAAAUCCUACAUUCGUAUUUGAAGCAGGCUGAUAUAAUCACAGGCUGUGAUCAACACUGACUUUAUUUUAUUUAUUCUCGGUCUGAAAUGUGCUUUAUAAAACACAAAAGCUAAACAUUUGCAGGUCCCAGCCUCUUAAGAAGGUGAAGAUCUGCUGCUUCUGCUUCAUAUCACCGUUGACUCACAUCUGAUUCACUGGAGAAAUAAAGUUAAUGUCAGCUCU